rnacentral:rRNA from 1 species
GAUGAACGCUGGCGGCGUGCCUAAUACAUGCAAGUCGAGCGAAGGGAUUAAGAGCUUGCUCUUAUGAAGUUAGCGGCGGACGGGUGAGUAACACGUGGGUAACCUGCCCAUAAGACUGGGAUAACUCCGGGAAACCGGGGCUAAUACCGGAUAACACUUUGAACCGCAUGGUUCGAAAUUGAAAGGCGGCUUCGGCUGUCACUUAUGGAUGGACCCGCGUCGCAUUAGCUAGUUGGUGAGGUAACGGCUCACCAAGGCAACGAUGCGUAGCCGACCUGAGAGGGUGGUCGGCCACACUGGGACUGAGACACGGCCCAGACUCCUACGGGAGGCAGCAGGAGUGAAUCUUCCGCAAUGGACGAAAGUCUGACGGAGCAACGCCGCGUGAGUGAUGAAGGCUUUCGGGUCGUAAAACUCUGUUGUUAGGGAAGAACAAGUGCUAGUUGAAUAAGCUGGCACCUUGACGGUACCUAACCAGAAAGCCACGGCUAACUACGUGCCAGCCGCCGCCAUAC